GAUGAACGCUGGCGGCGUGCCUAAUACAUGCAAGUCGAAUGAAGAUCUAGCUUGCUAGAUCUUAGUGGCGAACGGGUGAGUAAUACAUAAAUAAUCUGCCCAUAUGACUGGGAUAACUAUUGGAAACGAUAGCUAAUACCGGAUAGGUUGAUUGGAGGCAUCUCUGAUUAAUUAAAGUAGGAUUUCUACACAAAUGGAUGAGUUUAUGGCGCAUUAGCUAGUUGGUGGGGUAACGGCCUACCAAGACGAUGAUGCGUAGCCGACCUGAGAGGGUGACCGGCCACACUGGGACUGAGACACGGCCCAGAAUCCUGCGGGAGGCAGCAGUAGGGAAUUUUCGGCAAUGGGCGCAAGCCUGACCGAGCAACGCCGCGUGAGUGGUUAAGGCCUUCGGGUUGUAAAGCUCUGUUGUAAGGGAAGAACAUUCAGGAUAGGAAAUGAUCUUGAACUGACGGUACCUUACCAGAAAGCCACGGCUAACUACGUGCCAGCCGCCGCCGUAACAC
rnacentral:rRNA from 1 species